rnacentral:rRNA from 1 species
GACGAACGCUGGCGGCGUGCUUAACACAUGCAAGUCGAACGGAAAGGCCCUGCUUUUGUGGGGUGCUCGAGUGGCGAACGGGUGAGUAACACGUGAGUAACCUGCCCUUGACUUUGGGAUAACUUCAGGAAACUGGGGCUAAUACCGGAUAGGAGCUCCUGCUGCAUGGUGGGGGUUGGAAAGUUUCGGCGGUUGGGGAUGGACUCGCGGCUUAUCAGCUUGUUGGUGGGGUAGUGGCUUACCAAGGCUUUGACGGGUAGCCGGCCUGAGAGGGUGACCGGCCACAUUGGGACUGAGAUACGGCCCAGACUCCUACGGGAGGCAGCAGUGGGGAAUAUUGCACAAUGGGCGGAAGCCUGAUGCAGCAACGCCGCGUGCGGGAUGACGGCCUUCGGGUUGUAAACCGCUUUCGCCUGUGACGAAGCGUGAGUGACGGUAAUGGGUAAAGAAGCACCGGCUAACUACGUGCCAGCAGCCGCGGUGAUACGUAGGGUGCGAGCGUUGUCCGGAUUUAUUGGGCGUAAAGGGCUCGUAGGUGGUUGAUCGCGUCGGAAGUGUAAUCUUGGGGCUUAACCCUGAGCGUGCUUUCGAUACGGGUUGACUUGAGGAAGGUAGGGGAGAAUGGAAUUCCUGGUGGAGCGGUGGAAUGCGCAGAUAUCAGGAGGAACACCAGUGGCGAAGGCGGUUCUCUGGGCCUUUCCUGACGCUGAGGAGCGAAAGCGUGGGGAGCGAACAGGCUUAGAUACCCUGGUAGUCCACGCUGUAAACGGUGGGUACUAGGUGUGGGGUCCAUUCCACGGGUUCCGUGCCGUAGCUAACGCUUUAAGUACCCCGCCUGGGGAGUACGGCCGCAAGGCUAAAACUCAAAGGAAUUGACGGGGCCCCGCACAAGCGGCGGAGCAUGCGGAUUAAUUCGAUGCAACGCGUAGAACCUUACCUGGGUUUGACAUGGAUCGGGAGUGCUCAGAGAUGGGUGUGCCUCUUUUGGGGUCGGUUCACAGGUGGUGCAUGGCUGUCGUCAGCUCGUGUCGUGAGAUGUUGGGUUAAGUCCCGCAACGAGCGCAACCCUUGUUCACUGUUGCCAGCACGUUAUGGUGGGGACUCAGUGGAGACCGCCGGGGUCAACUCGGAGGAAGGUGGGGAUGACGUCAAGUCAUCAUGCCCCUUAUGUCCAGGGCUUCACGCAUGCUACAAUGGCUGGUACAGAGAGUGGCGAGCCUGUGAGGGUGAGCGAAUCUCGGAAAGCCGGUCUCAGUUCGGAUUGGGGUCCGCAACUCGACCUCAUGAAGUCGGAGUCGCUAGUAAUCGCAGAUCAGCAACGCUGCGGUGAAUACGUUCCCGGG